UACGUAGGAGGCGAGCGUUAUCCGGAUUUAUUGGGUUUAAAGGGUCCGUAGGCGGAUCUGUAAGUCAGUGGUGAAAUCUCACAGCUUAACUGUGAAACUGCCAUUGAUACUGCAGGUCUUGAGUGUUAUUGAAGUAGCUGGAAUAAGUAGUGUAGCGGUGAAAUGCAUAGAUAUUACUUAGAACACCAAUUGCGAAGGCAGGUUACUAAGCAACAACUGACGCUGAUGGACGAAAGCGUGGGGAGCGAACAGG
rnacentral:rRNA from 1 species